rnacentral:rRNA from 1 species
AACGCGAAGAACCUUACCUGGGUUUGACAUACACCGGAAAACCGUAGAGAUACGGUCCCCCUUGUGGUCGGUGUACAGGUGGUGCAUGGCUGUCGUCAGCUCGUGUCGUGAGAUGUUGGGUUAAGUCCCGCAACGAGCGCAACCCUUGUCUUAUGUUGCCAGCGCGUUAUGGCGGGGACUCGUAAGAGACUGCCGGGGUCAACUCGGAGGAAGGUGGGGACGACAUCAAGUCAUCAUGCCCCUUAUGUCCAGGGCUUCACACAUGCUACAAUGGCCAGUACAGAGGGCUGCGAGACCGUGAGGUGGAGCGAAUCCCUUAAAGCUGGUCUCAGUUCGGAUCGGGGUCUGCAACUCGACCCCGUGAAGUCGGAGUCGCUAGUAAUCGCAGAUCAACAACGCUGCGGUGAAUACGUUCCCGGGUCUUGUACACACCG